GACGAACGCUGGCGGCGUGCCUAAUACAUGCAAGUUGAGCGCUGAAGGUUGGUACUUGUACCAACUGGAUGAGCAGCGAACGGGUGAGUAACGCGUGGGGAAUCUGCCUUUGAGCGGGGGACAACAUUUGGAAACGAAUGCUAAUACCGCAUAAAAACUUUAAACACAAGUUUUAAGUUUGAAAGAUGCAAUUGCAUCACUCAAAGAUGAUCCCGCGUUGUAUUAGCUAGUUGGUGAGGUAAAGGCUCACCAAGGCGAUGAUACAUAGCCGACCUGAGAGGGUGAUCGGCCACAUUGGGGCUGAGACACGGCCCAAACUCCUACGGGAGGCAGCAGUAGGGAAUCUUCGGCAAUGGACGAAAGUCUGACCGAGCAACGCCGCGUGAGUGAAGAAGGUUUUCGGAUCGUAAAACUCUGUUGGUAGAGAAGAGCGUUGGUGAGAGUGGAAAGCUCAUCAAGUGACGGUAACUACCCAGAAAGGGACGGCUAACUACGUG
rnacentral:rRNA from 1 species